GUGAGAGUGUGUGUGAGUGUGUGUGAGAGUGUGUGUGUGUGUGAGAGUGUGAGAGUGUGUGUGAGUGUGUGUGAGUGUGUGUGAGUGUGUGUGAGAGUGUGUGUGUGUGAGUGUGUGUGUGUGUGUGUGUGUGAGAGUGUGUGAGAGUGUGUGUGAGAGAGUGUGAGAGAGUGUGUGAGAGAGUGUGUGUGUGAGUGUGUGUGAGAGUGUGUGUGAGAGUGUGUGUGAGAGUGUGUGUGAGAGUGUGUGAGAGUGUGUGAGUGUGUGAGAGUGUGUGAGAGUGUGUGUGAGAGUGUGUGUGAGAGUGUGUGUGAGAGUGUGUGUGAGAGUGUGUGUGAGA
ensembl:lncRNA